rnacentral:rRNA from 1 species
AGUGAACGCUGGCGGCGUGCCUAAUACAUGCAAGUCGAACGGAGAUUAAGUAGCUUGCUAUUUAAUCUUAGUGGCGCACGGGUGAGUAAUAUAUAGCUAACUUGCCCAUUACUAAGGGACAACAGUUGGAAACGACUGCUAAUACCUUAUACUCCGUAUCUAUAUAAGUAGAUACGGGAAAGUUUUUCGGUAAUGGAUAGGGCUAUAUCGUAUCAGCUAGUUGGUAAGGUAAUGGCUUACCAAGGCUAUGACGCGUAACUGGUCUGAGAGGAUGAUCAGUCACACUGGAACUGAGACACGGUCCAGACUCAUACGGGAGGCAGCAGUAGGGAAUAUUGCUCAAUGGGGGAAACCCUGAAGCAGCAACGCCGCGUGGAGGAUGACACUUUUCGGAGCGUAAACUCCUUUUCUUGGGAAAGAAUUAUGACGGUACCCAAGGAAUAAGCACCGGCUAACUCCGUG